CACUAUGGCUCGUGAGGCGUCCGGACUGGCCCAGAGAGGUGGGCAACUACCACUCAGGGCCGGAAAGCUCUCCAAACUCGGUCAUUUAGAGGAAGUAAAAGUCGUAACAAGGUCUCCGUUGGUGAACCAGCGGAGGGAUCAUUACCGAGUUUACAACUCCCAAACCCCUGUGAACAUACCACUUGUUGCCUCGGCGGAUCAGCCCGCUCCCGGUAAAACGGGACGGCCCGCCAGAGGACCCCUAAACUCUGUUUCUAUAUGUAACUUCUGAGUAAAACCAUAAAUAAAUCAAAACUUUCAACAACGGAUCUCUUGGUUCUGGCAUCGAUGAAGAACGCAGCAAAAUGCGAUAAGUAAUGUGAAUUGCAGAAUUCAGUGAAUCAUCGAAUCUUUGAACGCACAUUGCGCCCGCCAGUAUUCUGGCGGGCAUGCCUGUUCGAGCGUCAUUUCAACCCUCAAGCACAGCUUGGUGUUGGGACUCGCGUUAAUUCGCGUUCCUCAAAUUGAUUGGCGGUCACGUCGAGCUUCCAUAGCGUAGUAGUAAAACCCUCGUUACUGGUAAUCGUCGCGGCCACGCCGUUAAACCCCAACUUCUGAAUGUUGACCUCGGAUCAGGUAGGAAUACCCGCUGAACUUAAGCAUAUCAAUAAGCGGAGGAAAAGAAACCAACAGGGAUUGCCCUAGUAACGGCGAGUGAAGCGGCAACAGCUCAAAUUUGAAAUCUGGCUCUCGGGCCCGAGUUGUAAUUUGUAGAGGAUACUUUUGAUGCGGUGCCUUCCGAGUUCCCUGGAGCGGGACGCCAUAGAGGGUGAGAGCCGCGUCUGGUUGGAUGCCAAAUCUCUGUAAAUGUCCUUCUUUGAGUCGAGUAGGUUGGGAAUGCUGGUCUAAAUGGGAGGGAUAUGUCUUCUCCCCCUAAAUACCACCUGAGGACGGUAGCGGGGAGGUAGAGUGGUCGGGGGAUCUAUUGGAGGGCCUCUUGAGGGUCCCACAGCCCACCCCUUUCGUUUAAUGGAAGGGGGUUUUUUGGGGUGCUCG
rnacentral:rRNA from 1 species